rnacentral:rRNA from 1 species
GACGAACGCUGGCGGCGUGCUUAACACAUGCAAGUCGAACGGUGAAGCGCCUUCCUUUUUGGUGGGUGUGGAUGAGUGGCGAACGGGUGAGUAACACGUGAGUAACCUGCCCCCUUCUUCUGGAUAACCGCAUGAAAGUGUGGCUAAUACGGGAUAUUCUGGGUCUGUCGCAUGAUGGGUCUGGGAAAGAUAUUGUUUCGGUGGGGGAUGUGCUCGCGGCCUAUCAGCUUGUUGGUGGGGUGAUGGCCUACCAAGGCGGUGACGGGUAGCCGGCCUGAGAGGGUGGACGGUCACACUGGGACUGAGACACGGCCCAGACUCCUACGGGAGGCAGCAGUGGGGAAUAUUGCACAAUGGGCGCAAGCCUGAUGCAGCGACGCCGCGUGAGGGAUGGAGGCCUUCGGGUUGUGAACCUCUUUCGCCAGUGAAGCAGGCCUGCCUCGUUUGUGGGUGGGUUGACGGUAGCUGGAGAAGAAGCGCCGGCUAACUACGUG